rnacentral:rRNA from 1 species
GACGAACGCUGGCGGCGUGCCUAAUACAUGCAAGUCGAGCGAGCGGCGGACGGGUGAGUAACACGUUGAAACCUACCUAUAAGCCUGGGAUAAAUCCGGGAAAACGGAGCUAAUACCGCAUACGUAUAGAUGGACCCGUGCUGCAUUAGCUAGUUGGUAAGGUAACGGCUUACCAGGGAAACGAUGCAUAGCCGACCGGAGAGGGUGAUCGGCCACACUGGAACUGAGACACGGUCCAGACUCCUACGGGAGGCAGCAGUGGGGAAUAUUGGACAAUGGGCGCAAGCCUGAUGCAGCCAUGCCGCGUGUAUGAAGAAGGCCUUAGGGUUGUAAAGUACUUUCAGCGGGGAGGCGUUACCCGCAGAAGAAGCACCGGCUAACUCCGUGCCAGCAGCCGCGGUAAUAC